AGCCAGUGAGCUUGCCCUCUG
rnacentral:miRNA from 1 species